GGAGAGGAGAGGAGAGGAGAGGAGAGGAGAGGAGAGGAGAGGAGAGGAGAGGAGAGGAGAGGAGAGGAGAGGAGAGAAGAGCAUGGUGUAAUAACAAGCCCCCACAUCCAUCUAUUAGUGUCAUGUUAUUGUAGCGAUCCACAGGCGGGAUGACCCACACAUAGCCUCGCUGGGACAGAUUGUAUACAGUUGCCUGCCGAAAGUAUUCACAUCAAUUAUACUUUUUAGACAUUUUGUUGUGUUACAAAGUGGAAUUAAAAUAGAUUUAAACUGUAAUAUUCUUUUGUUGUCAACAAUUGACUAAAAAAUAUUAUGUAAUGUCAAAAUGGAAUAUUUUUUCUUAUUACAUGUAUUUUUUUAAUAUUGGAAAAUAAAAACACAAAUAUAUUUGGAUUAGACAAUUAUUAAAUCGCCUGAGUCAAUACAUGUUAUAAUCACUUUUGUCAGUGAUUACAGCUUACAGUGUCUCUGGGUAAGUCUCGAAAGAGCUUUGCACGCCUGGAUUGUACAAUAUUUCCCCAUUAUUCUUUUUUAAAUUCUUCAAGUUCUGUCAAGUUGGUUGUUGAUAAUUUCUAGACAGCCAUUUUGUCAGAGAUUUUCAAGCCGACUUAAAUCAAAACCAUAACACUCAGGAACAUUCAAUUUUCGUUUUAAUGUAUAUUUGAGCUUGAGUUUUAGAUUAUUGUCCUGCUGAAACAUGGAUUUGUCUGGUGGAUAGCAGACUGAACCAGGUUUUAUUCUGGGACUUUGUGAGUGCUAAGCUCUAUUCCUUUUCUAUUUUUAUCCUAUAAAAAAAACUCCUGAGUCCCUACUGAUGACAAGCAUACCCAUAACAUGAUGCAGCCACCACCAUGCUUGAACAUAUGAACACUCAGUGAUGUGUUAUGUUGGAUUCGCCCCAAACAUAGAUCUUUGUAUUCAGGACAAAACCUGUAAUUCUUUAUCACAUAUUUUGCAGUAUCACUUUAGUGCCUUGUUGCAAACAGGAAGCAUGUUUUGGAAAAUGUGUAUUAUUUACAGGCUUCAUUCUUUUCACUCUGUCAUUUAGAUUAGAAUUGUGGAGUAACUACAAUGUUGUUGAUCCAUCCUCAGUUUUCUCCUUUCACAGCCAUUAAACUCUGUCAUUUAGAUUAGUAUUGUGGAGUAACUACAAUGUUGUAGAUCCAUCCUCAGUUGUCUCCUAUCACAGCCAUUAAACUCUGUCCUUUAGGUUAGUAUUGUGGAGUAACUACCAUGUUGUUGAUCCAUCCUCAGUUUUCUCCUAUCACAGCCAUUUAAAUCUGCAACUGGUUUAAAAUCACAGUUGGCUUCAUGGUGAAAUCCCUCUUUGUCAACUGAGUUAUAAAGGAAUCCUUCAUAUUUGAAGUGACUGGGGUGUAUUUAUACACCAUCCAACGUUUAAUUAAAUAUAAAAAAUCCAUCAACCAAUAAGUGCUCUACUUUGCGAGGAAUUGGAAAACCUCCCUGGUCUCUGUCAUUAAAUCUCUGCUUGAAAUUCACUGCUUGACUGAAAGACAGAUAAUUGUAUGUGUGAGGUUUAAAGAGAUUUAAAACUCAAGUUAAACACUAUUAUUGAACACAGUGUGAGUGAAUUUAUUAUGUAACUUGUUCAGUACAUUUUUACUCCUUACUUCUGGUCGAAUACUUAUUGAC
ensembl:lncRNA